CAUGCAGUCGAGCGAAUGAUGAAGAAGCUUGCUUCUUCUGAUUUAGCGGCGGACGGGUGAGUAACACGUGGGCAACCUACCUAGUAGAUUGGGAUAACUCCGGGAAACCGGGGCUAAUACCGAAUAAUUCAUUUCACCUCAUGGUGAGAUGCUGAAAGGCGGUUUCGGCUGUCACUACUAGAUGGGCCCGCGGUGCAUUAGCUAGUUGGUGGGGUAAUGGCCUACCAAGGCAACGAUGCAUAGCCGACCUGAGAGGGUGAUCGGCCACAUUGGGACUGAGACACGGCCCAAACUCCUACGGGAGGCAGCAGUAGGGAAUCUUCCACAAUGGACGAAAGUCUGAUGGAGCAACGCCGCGUGAGUGAUGAAGGUUUUCGGAUCGUAAAACUCUGUUGUAAGGGAAGAACAAGUACGUUAGUAACUGAACGUACCUUGACGGUACCUUAUUAGAAAGCCACGGCUAACUACGUGCCAGCAGCCGCGGUAAUACGUAGGUGGCAAGCGUUGUCCGGAUUUAUUGGGCGUAAAGCGCGCGCAGGUGGUUUCUUAAGUCUGAUGUGAAAGCCCACGGCUCAACCGUGGAGGGUCAUUGGAAACUGGGAGACUUGAGUGCAGAAGAGGAAAGUGGAAUUCCAAGUGUAGCGGUGAAAUGCGUAGAGAUUUGGAGGAACACCAGUGGCGAAGGCGACUUUCUGGUCUGUAACUGACACUGAGGCGCGAAAGCGUGGGGAGCAAACAGGAUUAGAUACCCUGGUAGUCCACGCCGUAAACGAUGAGUGCUAAGUGUUAGGGGGUUUCCGCCCCUUAGUGCUGCAGCUAACGCAUUAAGCACUCCGCCUGGGGAGUACGGGCCGCAAGGUUGAAACUCAAAUGAAAUU
rnacentral:rRNA from 1 species